rfam:Sporisorium reilianum SRZ2 chromosome 13 complete DNA sequence
GGCUGGUUGGUGAAGUGGCCUAACACACUGGUUUUAGGAAAAAAAAGCCAAAUCGCCUUUUGCGGUUGCAUCGACACACUGUUCCGACACCAGGACUCCUGGGUUCGAAUCCCAGACUAGUCA